rnacentral:rRNA from 1 species
UACGGGGGGGCAAGCGGUUGUUCGGAAUUACUGGGCGUAAAGGGCUCGUAGGCGGCCAACUAAGUCAGACGUGAAAUCCCUCGGCUUAACCGGGGAACUGCGUCUGAUACUGGAUGGCUUGAGGUUGGGAGAGGGAUGCGGAAUUCCAGGUGUAGCGGUGAAAUGCGUAGAUAUCUGGAGGAACACCGGUGGCGAAGGCGGCAUCCUGGACCAAUUCUGACACUGAGGAGCGAAAGCAUGGGGAGCGAACAGG